rnacentral:rRNA from 1 species
GCUCAAAUUUGAAAUCUUCAAGGUUCUACCUUGACGAAUUGUAGUUUAAAGAAGUGUUUUCUGUUAGAUGAGUAGCAAAAGUUCCUUGGAAUGGGACAUCAUAGAGGGUGAGAAUCCCGUAUUUGGUUAUUCAUUCUAGCUUUGUGAUACACUUUCAAAGAGUCGGAUUGUUUGGGAAUGCAGUCCAAAAUGGGUGGUAAAUUUCAUCUAAAGCUAAAUAUUGGCGAGAGACCGAUAGCGAACAAGUACCGUGAGGGAAAGAUGAAAAGAACUUUGAAAAGAGAGUUAAACAGUACGUGAAAUUGUCAAAAGGGAAGCGUUUGACACCAGUGUUGUUUUUCCGAAAAUCAAUUACGAAUGGCUUGAUUUUGUGUUGUAUUGACCUUAUCAGCUUUCUUCACUUUUUUCGAGUCUUUCUUAAUGCACUUUUCGGUUAACAAG